GGCCACAUCACAUCAAAACUCUGGUUCCUAUACGAUUACUGAAGUUAAGCAAUGUCAAGCCUGGUCAGUGCCUAGAUGGGUGACCACUUGAGAAUUCUAGGUGCUGAAAG